AUGCCCUACGGGAGGUAGCAGUGGGGAAUAUUGCACAAUGGGGGAAACCCUGAUGCAGCGACGCCGCGUGAGUGAAGAAGUAUUUCGGUAUGUAAAGCUCUGUCAGCAGGGAAGAAAAUGACGGUACCUGACCAAGAAGCCCCGGCUAACUACGUGCAAGCAGCCGCGGUAAUACGCAGGGGGCAAGCGUUAUCCGGAUUUACUGGGUGUAAAGGGAGCGUAGACGGCAGGGAAAGUCUGGAGUGAAAGGCGGGGGCUCAA
rnacentral:rRNA from 1 species